CCUUACACAGGAAAGAAGAACGGAUUUUACAUUGAUUGGGCUUCGGUUCAAUUAUUGCAAAAUUAGUGGCGAACGGGUGAGUAACACGUGGGUAAUUUACCUUCCAGAUUAGAAUAACUCCCCGAAAGGGGUGCUAAUACUGAAUAAGACCACAGGGACUGAUGUCCCAGAGGUUAAAGAUGGCCUCUAUUUAUAAGCUAUCACUGAAAGAUAAGCCCGCGUCCCAUUAGCUAGUUGGUGAGGUAAUGGCCACCAAGGCAAUGAUGGGUAGCCGGCCUGAGAGGGUGACCGGCCACACUGGGACUGCGUCACGGCCCAGACUCCUACGGGAGGCAGCAGUGGG
rnacentral:sRNA from 1 species